CGUAGGAGGCGAGCGUUAUCCGGAUUCACUGGGCGUAAAGCGCGUGCAGGCGGUUUGGUAAGUUGGGCGUGAAAGCUCCCGGCUCAACUGGGAGAGGUCGUUCAAUACUACCGAACUAGAGAACAGAAGAGGAAGAUGGAAUUCCCGGUGUAGUGGUGAAAUGCGUAGAUAUCGGGAGGAACACCAGUGGCGAAGGCGAUCUUCUGGUCUGUUUCUGACGCUCAGACGCGACAGCUAGUGUAGUAAACGGGAUUAGAGACCCCGGUAAUCCUAGCCGUAAACGAUGUGAACUUGGCGUCGGUGGCUUAAACACCAUCGGUGCCGAAGCAAACGCGAUAAGUUCACCGCCUGGGGACUACGGCCGCAAGGUUA
rnacentral:rRNA from 1 species